AACACGCCGCGUGUGUGAAGAAGGUUUUCGGAUCGUAAAGCUCUGUUGUUUGAGAAGAACGUGUGUGAGAGUGGAUGGUUCUCAUUUUGACGGUAACUUACCGAAAGGGGAGGGUUAAUUCCUGCCCACCGCCCCGGGUAUUCCUUAGGUCCCGACCUUUGUCGGAAUUAUUGGGCCUAAAGCGAACCCCGGCCGGUUUAUAAGUUUGAAGUUAAAGCCCCGGGCUUAACCCGGGAAUGGCUUUGGAAACUGGUAAACUUGAGUGCAGAAGAGGAAAGUGGAACUCCAUGUGUAGCGGUGAAAUGCGUAAAUAUAUGGAAGAA
rnacentral:rRNA from 1 species